UACGAAGGGUGCAAGCGUUACUCGGAAUUACUGGGCGUAAAGCGUGCGUAGGUGGUUUGUUAAGUCCGAUGUGAAAGCCCUGGGCUCAACCUGGGAAUGGCAUUGGAUACUGGCAGGCUAGAGUGCGGUAGAGGGCAGUGGAAUUCCCGGUGUAGCAGUGAAAUGCGCAGAUAUCGGGAGGAACACCAAUUGCGAAGGCAGCUCGCUGGGACGUCACUGACGCUGAGACGCGAAAGCGUGGGGAGCAAACAGG
rnacentral:rRNA from 1 species